CCGAUUUCUAUCCCUUGAUUUAUCCCUUGUUUUUAUCCCUUAAAACUCUAGGAUUUUAUCUCAUAUUUAUCCAUACAAAUUUAUAUUCAAUUAACCAUAAUUCUUCAUUUUAUUAAUCCCUAAUUAAUUAAAUAUGUGUUAUUUUAUAUUAAACGAGAAACUUAUUAAAUCAAUUAGUUAUAAAGAUUGAUGAUAUAUUUUAUCCCUUAACCCUAAUUAUUAUCCCUAAUUAGAUUAAUCAACCUUAAGUUUAUCCCAAGAAGUGAUCCCACUAUCCCAAAAUUAUCCCAAAGAUCCAACUUAAUUAAUCCGAAUUAAUUAAUUUUCACUAAAUAAUUAUAUAUUUUUUUCAUUUUUGAAUAUUUAAUUAUUUUGUGUUUUUUACUUGUUAUGUUAAUAAUAAGAUUAGUUAAAAAUAAUAAAAAUCCAUUAAAGUAUAGGAUAGCAAACAAAACAUAAGGUUUAUCUCCUCUUCCUGGUGUGACAGAAACUUUCAAACUCAGAAAUCCAACUCAAGAACCAUGCCUCUCUACCCUUAAAUCAAUAUCGCCCAAAUCAGGCUCAAACAAUGCAGUCAAAGGGAACAACACAACAUUGGUAAGGGAUAGCAAAAGGCGUGUGAGUCUUUCAAAGAAUAUGGUGGUUUAUCAGCCUCGGGGGCUCUUUUACGGUGGAGCGUGUUUGUGUUGCGUCAACGGCGGGGGUGUCGCAGUCGGUUUUUCGGCGGAGGGCGACGUGGUUCGGAGAGGGCACGACUAUUGAACUCCGGUUGUAAGGUGAAGUUUGGAUAAGUUGGUUUUGUGAAGGAGAUUGCGGACUUGGUUACGUUUUUUCUUAGAAAACAUUUUACAAAGGCAAUGUUUAUAGACCUAAACUAAAUUUAGUUUGAAAUUGAAACAAGUUAUGAAUAUUGAUUUUAAAAUAGGUUAUGAGAAUUUGAUUAUGCUAUUGCUUUUUCGACA